CGCUGCCCCUCACUUGGCUGCAACUGGACCCAGAACUAGGGAAGAGGCCAGGGACAGAUUUUUUUUUUUUAUUUUUAUUUUUUUUGCCGAGGGACGUUUCAAAAUUUUGCACGGCCAGGGUGACAAAAAGAGGAUUUAAGAGCCACAAGCGGUCCGCACAUGACCCAGACUUCGUUCCUGUGCGGCUUCCAGAGGUGUUCAUGCAGAAGACUGGAUGCAGGACCCUUGGUGGCACCAGUGUGCAGAUGAGCAGAUAGUGACUGAUUGCCACUGGGAUGAAAUUUUUAAAAAAGAACCUUGAAGUCUGUGAGUGACCAAUCAAAGAUGAAAAUUAAUAAUGGAAGACCUGGGAUAUACAAUCAAGUCUAAAGCCUAGAUAUCUGGUUAUUUUAGAAAAGCUUCAUAGGCAAGUGUCAGUGGAGCUGUGUUAUUUGAGCUGAGCUGCACCUUGAAGAACCAAAAAAAUUAUAAAUGGACAAAUAAGACCAAGUGCCUACACCAAAAGAAUUCUAAUGCUUAGAAGAGUUGCAGAAUAAAAUAUGUUGCAUGGGAUGUCAAUAGUAAAGGUCAAGAUAGAGGACAAAGAAACACAGAGGAAGGAGGUUAAUGGAAUGAGAGAAGAAAGUAUUUUUAGAGGAAGUUGAUAUUUCACCUGAGUUGUAAAAGGUCUUCUGUGAGUACACCGACAAUUUCAAACACUAUACUAGGAACUGAAUUUGGAUAAAUCAUAACCUGCCCCAGGGGCUCACUUCUAGGAGAGGGGACAGAUAAGCUAUAACAAAAUAUAAUAAACUGGGUACCUUAGAAGCAACGGAAAUUGAUUUCUCAUCGUUCUAGAAGCUAGGAAGUUCACGAUCAAGGUAGCAGCAGAGUUGGUGCCUGCUCUGGAGGCUGGAAAUCCAACAACAGAGUGCCAGCAUGAUCAGGUUCUGGAGAGGACCCUCUUCCUGUUUGCAGACUGCUGACUUCUUAUUGUAUAUUCCAAUGGUAGAAAGAGAGCAAGAGAACUCUCUGGAGUCUUUUUUUUAUAAGGGUGCUAACCCCAUUUAAGGAGGUUUCCCCUCAUAAUCUAAUUAUCUCUCAAAAGCCAUACCUUUCAACACCAUUGCAUUGAAGAUCUUUACCAUGCUGGAUUGGAAGAGAAAAGACCAUCACUAAAGCAAAUGGAUCAAAUGGAGUUAUAAAUCAACUCUGUACUCUACAGGAUUGACUCAACUGCAGACAUCUCCAAUACACUCCCUCAUGGCUUUAUUUUUUCUGCUUAUGUGGAAAAAUAACAGUAAAUACAGUUAACUAUCCCAAGACAGAAGAGUAUUAUUAAAAAAGAAUACAACGUUAUUGAUUUUUCAAGACAUAAUCAGAUAUUUUUAAACUCUGAUUUAAUAAAACAUAAUGUAAUUUC
rnacentral:lncRNA from 1 species